AUGUGUCUGCAGUGUGUCUGCAGUGUGUCUACAGUGUGUCUGCAGUGUGUCUGCAGUGUGUCUGCAGUGUGUCUGCGUCUGCAGUUUGUCUGCAGUGUGUCUGCGUCUGCAGUUUGUCUACAGUGUGUCUGCAGUGUGUUUAUAGGGUGUCUGUGUCUGCAGUGUGUUUAUAGGGUGUCUGCGUCUACAGUGUGUCUACAGUGUGUCUGCAGUGUGUCUACAGUGUGUCUGCAGUGUGUCUGCGUCUGCAGUUUGUCUACAGUGUGUCUGCAGUUUGUCUACAGUGUGUCUGCAGUGUGUCUGCAGUGUGUCUGCAGUUUGUCUGCAGUGUGUCUGCGUCUGCAGUUUGUCUGCAGUGUGUCUGUGUCUGCAGUGUGUCUGCAGUGUGUCUACAGUGUGUCUGCAGUGUGUCUACAGUGUGUCUGCGUCUGCAGUUUGUCUGCAGUUUGUCUGCAGUGUGUCUGUGUCUGCAGUUUGUCUGCAGUGUGUCUGUGUCUGCAGUGUGUCUACAGUGUGUCUGCAGUGUGUCUGCAGUGUGUCUACAGUGUGUCUGCAGUGUGUCUGCAGUGUGUCUGCGUCUGCAGUUUGUCUGCAGUGUGUCUACAGUGUGUCUACAGUGUGUCUGCAGUGUGUCUACAGUGUGUCUGCAGUGUGUCUACGUCUGCAGUUUGUCUGCAGUGUGUCUGCGUCUGCAGUUUGUCUGCAGUGUGUCUGUGUCUGCAGUGUGUCUGCAGUGUGUCUACAGUGUGUCUGCAGUGUGUCUACAGUGUGUCUACAGUGUGUCUGCAGUGUGUCUACAGUGUGUCUGCAGUGUGUCUGCGUCUGCAGUGUGUCUGCAGUGUGUCUGCAGUGUGUCUGCAGUGUGUCUGCGUCUGCAGUUUGUCUACAGUGUGUCUGCAGUGUGUCUACAGUGUGUCUACAGUGUGUCUGCAGUGUGUCUACAGUGUGUCUGCAGUGUGUCUGCGUCUGCAGUUUGUCUACAGUGUGUCUACAGUGUGUCUGCAGUGUGUCUGCGUCUGCAGUUUGUCUACAGUGUGUCUGCAGUGUGUUUAUAGGGUGUCUGUGUCUGCAGUGUGUUUAUAG
rnacentral:lncRNA from 15 species